AUGAAUAUGAUGCAUCCAAAUUUUCAUACUUCAUAUAAAUCAUACUUGUGCUUCUUCGCGGUGAACAGUUUGCUUCACGUGCAUCAUAGUUAUGCUUCUUCACUAUGCAUAGCUUCAUAUAUUAUUUCACACUUUGCUUCUACAUUUUGUUCGGUUUGCUUCACACGCAUCAUAGGUAUGCUUCUUCACCAUGUAAAGCUUCAUAUCUUUCACACUUUGCUUCUACAUUUUGUUCGGUUUGCUUAUUUCCGGGCUUUGUACUGUAUCACAAGCAUCGUGCUUGUAUUCAAAGCAAAUACUUGUAAAUUUCGGCAGGGUUGA
rnacentral:rRNA from 1 species